AUACGGAAGGUCCGGGCGUUAUCCGGAUUUAUUGGGUUUAAAGGGAGCGCAGGCGGAGAUGCAAGCGUGACGUCAAAUUUCGGGGCUCAACCCCGUCUCGCGUCGCGAACUGCGUCCCUUGGUUGCGGGAAGGGGAGGCGGAACUCGUGGUGUAGCGGUGAAAUGCAUAGAUAUCACGAAGAACUCCGAUCGCGAAGGCAGCCUUCCGGCCCGUCAACGACGCUCAUGCUCGAAGGUGCGGGUAUCAAACAGGAUUAGAUACCCUGGUAGUCCGCACAGUAAACGAUGGACACCCGCGGUUUGGCCUGUAUGGCUGAGCCGCCAAGCGAAAGCGUUAAGUGUCCCACCUGGGGAGUACGCCGGCAACGGUGAAACUUAAAUGAAUUGGCGGGG
rnacentral:rRNA from 1 species